AUGCACGUCGAAGAGCUCAUAAAUCCAGUAACUAACACUUGGGACCUAGACCUACUGAACCAAUCAAUGGUAAGCGAAGAUGUACAAGUUAUACUCAGGAUCCCAAUUCAUGAGCAGCUAGAUGACUUCCCAGCAUGGCACUAUGAUAAGAAAGGACUUUUCUCAGUCAAAUCUGCAUACAAAGUAGCACGGGAUUGUGAAGCGCAUGAAUCUGUGAAAGGGCUACCUGAAUGCUCCAGUCCAGUGGGAAACACAUGUGGUUUCGAAUGGAAGAGACUAUGGUCACUCCCUCUGCCUAACAAGAUUCUGCACUUCCUAUGGAGAGUGGCCACCAACAGUUUACCAUUGAGGAUGAAACUGAAACAAAGAGUUAAACCAAUCUGGAGAGGACUUCAAAUGGAGGACACGAGAGAGUUAAUUGCUGGAUGCCCAAGCGGCCCAUCUCUCCUACAGGAAAUAUUCAAUCUAAACGAAGACAAGAGGCUCGCAGCUUGUUGUUUGCUCUGGAUCUGGCAUCAAUCCUUCUCAGGUGGUUGGGGCUUUAUAGUCAGGAAUGAUCGAGGAGUAGCGGUGGCAGCUGGACAAGGUCAUCUUCAAGCUGAACCUCGAGCUCUUCUCCAAGCGGUGCAAAUCACCUCAUCAAUGGGGUGUAAUCAGACUAUGGCUGCUCGGCGUGCUGUGUCUUUGCCUCUGUCUGCUGCUGCAUCUGAUGUGUGGCUUCUAAGGCCAUGUCACAGCCCUGACGAUGAGCGCUAUGGAUUAGAAUCCUGGCCGUUUUUGCCUGUGAGAGAAUUUCCUGGGGCCUCCCAGGUCCCAGCCAGCGCUGCUAGACUUGGCUAA
rnacentral:rRNA from 1 species